GACGAACGCUGGCGGCGUGCUUAAUACAUGCAAGUUGAACGCGCAAGCCUUUUUCUUUUGCCGACUGGAUGAGCAGCGAACGGGUGAGUAACGCGUGGGUAAUCUGCCUUUUAGCGGGGGACAACAUUUUGAAACGAAUGCUAAUACCGCAUAAACACUUUGAUCACAAUUUUUCAGGUUGAAAGAUUCUAUUGCUUCACUCAUAGAUGAGCGCGGGUUGUAUUGGCUUGUUGGUGUGGUAAGGGCUCACCAAGGCGAUGAUACGUAGCCGAGCUGGGAGGGUGAGCGGCGCGAUUGGGACUGAGCCAAGGCACAGACCAGUCCGGGAGGCGGCAGUAGGGAGUGUUGGGCAGUGGAAGGGAGUGUGGCCGGGUGACGCGGCGUGGGUGAAGAGGGGUAUGGGAUCGUAAUGCUAUCUUGGUAGAGAAGAGGGUUGGUGAGCGUGGAAAGUUGAUGAAGUGACGGUAGCUGCGCAGAAAGCGCCGGCUAACUACGUG
rnacentral:rRNA from 1 species